UAAUGGAUUGAACUGAUCCUUUACCAUAUGUAGCUUCACCCAAUAAUAUUGCUCUUUUUUGAUCUUGUAAGGCGCCCGCUACAAUUUCAGCAGCUGACGCUGAUCCAUUAUUGAUUAAAACAAUUAAAGGUUUACCCUUAAUUCGGUCUCCUUUUUUAGCAAAAAAUUUUCUAUUUUCUCUACUUUUUCUUCCUCUAGUAGAAACAAUUUCUCCAUCAUCGAGGAAGAAGUCAGAAAUUCUAACAGCUUGGGACAAAAGACCUCCGGGAUUAUUUCUUA
rnacentral:ncRNA from 1 species